rnacentral:rRNA from 1 species
UACGGAGGGUGCAAGCGUUAAUCGGAAUUACUGGGCGUAAAGCGCGCGUAGGCGGCUGGAUAAGUCGAUUGUGAAAGCCCCGGGCUCAACCUGGGAAUUGCAGUCGAGACUGUUCGGCUAGAGUGUGGGAGAGGGCAGUGGAAUUCCCGGUGUAGCGGUGAAAUGCGUAGAUAUCGGGAGGAACAUCAGUGGCGAAGGCGACUGCCUGGCCCAACACUGACGCUGAGGUGCGAAAGCGUGGGUAGCAAACAGG